rnacentral:rRNA from 1 species
UACGAACGCUGGCGGCGUGCUUAACACAUGCAAGUCGAACGGAAAGGCCCUGCUUUUGUGGGGUGCUCGAGUGGCGAACGGGUGAGUAACACGUGAGUAACCUGCCCUUGACUUUGGGAUAACUUCAGGAAACUGGGGCUAAUACCGGAUAGGAGCUCCUGCUGCAUGGUGGGGGUUGGAAAGUUUCGGCGGUUGGGGAUGGACUCGCGGCUUAUCAGCUUGUUGGUGGGGUAGUGGCUUACCCAGGCUUUGACGGGUAGCCGGCCUGAGAGGGUGACCGGCCACAUUGGGACUGAGAUACGGCCCAGACUCCUACGGGAGGCAGCAGUGGGGAAUAUUGCACAAUGGGAGGAAGCCUGAUGCAGCAACGCCGCGUGCGGGAUGACGGCCUUCGGGUUGUAAACCGCUUUCGCCUGUGACGAAGCGUGAGUGACGGUAAUGGGUAAAGAAGCACCGGCUAACUACGUG